GUGGGGAAUCUUCCGCAAUGGACGAAAGUCUGACGGAGCAACGCCGCGUGAGUGAAGAAGGUUUUCGGAUCGUAAAGCUCUUUCGUUAGGGACGAACGUGCUCUUUGUGAAUAAUGAGGAGUAAUGACGGUACCUAAAUAAGAAGCCACGGCUAACUACGUGCCAGCAGCCGCGGUAAUACGUAGGUGGCAAGCGUUGUCCGGAAUUAUUGGGCGUAAAGCGCGCGCAGGCGGGAUAUCAAGUCUGUCUUAAAAGUGCGAGGCUCAACCUCGUGAGGGGACAGAAACUGGUAUUCUUGAGUGUCGGAGAGGAGAGUGGAAUUCCAAGUGUAGCGGUGAAAUGCGUAGAGAUUUGGAAGAACACCAGUGGCGAAGGCGACUUUCUGGACGAUGUCUGACGCUGAGGCGCGAAAGCUAGGGGAGCGAACGGGAUUAGAAACCCUAGUAGUCC
rnacentral:rRNA from 1 species